CCAUUGGAAAAAUGUAGUACCUAGGGCGGGUCCAUAGUCCUUCACUGCUUCCCUUGGAUAGGGGAGGGAGGUCCCUCGGCUCAUUGUACUUCCUGGAUGAAGCAAUGCCCCACCCUGCUUCUGCUAGCUCACUGUGGGUUGCACCCACCGCCUAACCAGUUCCAUUGAGAUGAACUGGGUAUGUCAGUUGGAAAUGCAGAAACCACCCACCUUCUCUGUUGGUCUCGCUGGGUGCUGCAAACCAGAGCCGUUUCUAUUCAGCCAUCUUGGCCCUUCCUCCCAUCUGUAUAUCUUAAUUUUACCUUUCUUUUUGAAAGCUAACUUGGGAGAAUAUAGAAUUCUAGGCAAAAUUGUUGAGCCAAGGUCCUGGAACUGUGAGUAAGAAAAUGACAAACCCAUCUCUCAGUGGCACCCCUACUGCAGGAGUUGAGCACUCAUUAGAGAAGAGCAGCAGGAAAUGGACCUGAAUAUCCUCUUAGCAGCCAUGACUGGAUGCCAAAUGGGACAAAGAAGAACUUUGAAUAUGACAUCACACUACCUCCUGCACUGUGGUUCCUGAUAAGAAAUCAGCCAUUCAUCUUACUGAGACUCCUUUAGGAUUGGUGCCCUCAUAAGAAGAGAAAGACACACCAAAGCACUUCCUUUGAUGUGAAGAUACAGUGAUAAGGUAGCACUUUCCAGGAUCUUACUGUUACCCAGGAUGAAGUACUGUGGCAUGAUCACAGCUCCCUGAAGCCUCAACCUCUCCAAGCUCAGGUAUUUUCUGAAAAGGUGGAUUGCUGCUUCAAAGGACCUGGACCCAGAGGCCCUGUCCAUGAAUGUUUCUUGCUUGGUUCCGAGGCCACCAAACAUACUGGCUGAGCCUUCUGUAUUCACCCUGGCCUAUCAAUGCCAUCUAUGAGAGCAGCCACACUGAGAGAGCAGCAGCAUGGAGCCUACUCAAGGGUUUGUUUCAAAAAUAUAUGGAAAACAAGAAAAACCAAAAGAGGAAACCAUUUCUAAUGAGGAGACUAGUUCAAUUAUUCUGAAGUCAAGCCCUGCUAAUCAAGGAGUUGGACCGACUGUGACAUUUGGGGAAGCCCCACAGAACAGGAUGGGAUCUUUUAUGAAGAAAUGGAUUGGGAAGAAAAACAUAAGAUAAGGUUGGAACCUCUUCUGGUGCAAGAAGGUCCUAAAUAUUACUGAGGAUCUCUCAUCUUCUAGGUGAAGCUCACAAAAUUGCCCUGGAGGUUGCUGCCUUCCUGGAAGCCAGAGUGAAAAAAAAAAAGAGGACAUGCAGUUGCACAUGGGAGGAUUUUGUGGGCCAUGGUUAUCAGGGCACAAUCCCUUAGCUCACCUUUCUCUGGUGAGAAAACACUUCCAGUGCCACACCUCAGUCUCCUCCCUCUGGUGAAAAAAACACUUCCAGUGCCACACCUCAGCCUCCUUCCUCUGGUGAAAAAACAGUUCCAGUGCCAUACCUCAGCCUUUCCUCUGGUAAAAAACACUUCCAGUGCCACACCUCAGCCUCCCUCCUCUGGUGAAAAAACACUUCCAGUGCUACACCUCAGCCUCCUUCCUCUGGUGAAAAAAUACUUCCAGAGCCACACCUUACCCUCCUUCCUCUGGUGAGAAACUACUUCCAGUGCCACACCUCAGCCUCCUUCCUCUGGUGACAAAACACUUCCAGUGCCACAACUCAGCCUCCUUCGACUGGUGAGAAAACACUUCCAGUGCCACACCUCAGCCUCCUUCCUCUGCUGAGAAAACACUUCCAGUGCCACAGCUCAGCCUCCUUCCUCUGGUCACAAAACACUUCCAGUACUACACAUCACUGCUGGAGAACUGGAGAGUGGAGUCUUCCAGCCCAAGAAGAAAGAAAUAUAGGAUUUUGUCAAGUACCAGAAGUUUCUGCCACACUCAGUGGGCAUUCUUUGAGUUAGUUUUUUUAGUAUAUUUCACUAAAAACUGUGAGAGAGGAACCCUUAAUAUAGGUCCUGCAAAAAACAAGUAUUCAAUAAAUCCUGUUGAAUCAAUAAAUGAAUCACCUCUUCCAAAAUAAGCUUAAUUGUUUAAGUUACUAGCAAAAUGCCUAAAUGAAAAUUAACCAUUCUAUAGAGACAUUAUUGAGUUAGUUCAUUCAGCCAUUCAAUAAAUGUAUUCAGUGUAUGUUUAUAGAAUAACUAUAAUUUACCAACUGUUUUAGGCAUGGGGGGUACAGCAGUGAAUAAAAUCAUCCAACUACCUAUUCUAACAGAGAUUAAAUUCUAGUGGUACAAGCAGCAGACGAACAAAUGAAUAAUUUCAUAUAUUCAUCCAUGCAAUAAUAUUGAAAAUUUUAUUUUCAAUAAAUAAUCAGUGGUCCUCAACCUUUUCGGCAUCAGGGAACAAUUUUGUGGAAAACAAUUUUUCUACAAACGGGUGGGAGAAUGGUUUCAGGAUGAUUCAAGCACAUUACCUUUAUUGUGCACUUUAUUUCUAUUAUUACUGCAUUGUAAUAUAUAAUGAAAUAAUUAUACAACUCAUCAUAAUGUAGAAUCAGUGGGAGCCCUGAGCUUGUUUUCCUGCAACUAGACAGUUCCAUCUGGGGGGAAUGAGAGACAGUGACAGAUCAUCAGGUAUUAGAUUCUCAUAAGGAGCAUGCAACCUAGAUCCUUUGCAUGUGCAGUUCACAACAGGAUUCAUGCUUCUAUGAGAAUCUAAUGCCACCACUGAUCUGACAAGAGGUGGAGCUCAGGAGGCAAAGCUCACUCACCUCCUGCUGGGCUACUUGGUUCCUAACAGGCCAUGGACCAGUACUGGUCCAUGACCUGAGGGUUGGGGACCACUGACUUAGAUUCUAGUGGAAAAAGAUGGGCUGUAAACAAACUAUGUAAGAAAAUAAUACAAGCAUAUUAGUGGGCCAGCUGUAGCAUGGUGGGAAAACAGGGCCAUGAGGAAAUGAACAAGCCCAUUUUACCAGCUGGGGUCAGGAAUAAUAAUGAUGUGGAGUCCCUUGAGUAUGGGGGAGCUACAGAAAGCAGAAACUGAACCAGGCUCUGGCCAGGGGACCCAUGUGCUGCGGCAGUGCUAGGAACCUGCACAACUCAGCCCAUAGCCCAGUUGAAUUAGCCCAUGCUGGCACCCACAUCUUGCUUGGGCACUGUCUCACGGUUUGACACUGGAGAUGGGUAUGAAGCCCUCUACUGGAUUAAUAAAACAAAUAAUACCUUUGUUCACAAGAUGAUCUUAAGAAGAACAGCAGAUGAGGACCCUGUAAAAUUUUAUUUUCCAGCAGAGAGGGUACAGAAGCUGAUUUUGUGAUUGAUUGGAAUGGGACAGCAGUGAGGAGCCACCAUUUUGCUCACAGAUGAAAGAUCACCCAUUGUAAGAGGCUGCCUGAAGAGAAAACAAGAUCCCGGUAGAAGACACAAAACUUCCACGUCAGAGACAAAGGAUUUCAUUACUCAUGGCAAAAGCAGGAAUCAGAGCUUCACAUUUGCUGGUGUCAAUUUCUCAUACCCUCAAAUCCCAGAAGCAUGACACAAAAGAGUCCAUGAUGGAUGUCUGAAUACACAGUGGGCUGUGUUAGAAGAGAGUAACACUGAGCUCAGGUGAUCUCUGCUUCUGUAGUAAGCUUGCACUUUGUCUCGGGGGAGACAUUCCCUCAUCACUCAAGACUGUUCCCUGCAAACACAACCUUGAAUAAUGGCCCAGAAGAGUGGUGAGAGUUCUAAAUUCCUGGCACUUCCAGCAAGUAUGCUCAGGAACACCAGGGCCCAAAGUGGAUUGCCUCUUCCUAAAAAUAUGUUUAUGACUGAAGCCCUUUCCUUUAAAAUGUUAGGUGAAUAUGGAUCUUUUAUUUGCUGUCCUAUUUCAUUUUCAAUAAUUCUGAGUAUGACUCACCAAAAUGAUUUCACAAAAUAAUCUGUAGUAACCUUCAAUUUAAACAACAAACAAAUAAAAAAAAUUGCUAUGUUAAGUAUAUAUUUGAGAGUGUAAUUGCAGAAUUACAUUCUUCCUUAACAUACAAUGUGAAUGGUUUUAUAAAGUGAUUUGUCAGUUAUUUAUCAUUUGCUUUUCACAAGCGGUGUAUGAAUAUUCCCCUUGCCAUAUGUCUCCACCACCACUUGGUUUUGUCAGACAUUUAUUGUUUGAUAAUCAAAUACUGCAUAAUUAUAUCUGAUUUGGUUGUAAUUUGCAUUUUACUUAUUAUUAAUGAGGUUUAGCAUUGCCAUAUGUGUAUAAGUCAUUUGUUUUUCAUUGUCUGUUAAAUGUCUGCAUAUGACUUUGGCCCGUUUUAAAAUUGAGAUAUUUCUUUCUUUUAGAUUGAUACAUGAAUUAUUUACAUUUGUGAGUUAUGAAUAUUGUCAAUAACGUCUCACUGUAGAUCAAUUUUUCACUGAAUUUCUGGUAUCAUUUUAUAAAUUAAAUUUAUUUUAAUGUUUCAAGUAUUCUAUUUUAAACUGAUAUUUUAUGGUAUUUGUCAUGUAUAAGAACUCAUUCUAGAUCAUUAGUCAUAAAGAUAUUCAUCUAAAUUUUCUUCAAAACUGUUAAAUGUCUUUAACAUUUAAGUCCUAAAUACAUCUGAACUGGUCCAAUAAUCCAAAUGAAUCAAAUAUCUAAGAAAAACUGUAACAAAGGAAGAGACAAAUCUAUAGAGAGUACAUUAUAAAACAUUCUUGAGGGAGAAUCAAUAUGAACCUAAAUUAAUAGAAAACUAUUUAUGGAGGGAAAGACAGUAUGUAAAGAAGCAAAUUAUCUUCAAUUCAUCUGUAAAUUUACUGCAAUCUCAAUAAAAAGUCAAGUAGAAGCUUUUUUGUUGAAAUUGAUAAGCCAAUAAUAAAUUGUAAAUAUUCAAAGAUCUAAUGAUAGCUAAUGCAAUAUUGAAGAUAAACUGAAAUUUUGGAGAAUCAAGACUUAUUUGAGGAUUGCAGUAAUGAAGACAGUGAUUAAUUGUGCAAGAAUAGACAAACCAUCCAAGAAAACAAAAUAGAGAGCUGAAAAGCAGACCCAGGCUUAUAUUGAUCAGUGAUAUAGGUGGCAUAACAGGAGGGUGACAAAAAGACAGUUAUUUCCAUAAAUUGUACUUCAUCAAUUGUAUAUCUGAGAGAGAGAGAAAGAGAGAGAAAUUGUUUUUAUUCAUAGUAUAAUAUAUAAUUGCUUCUAUUCAUAGAGAGAAAGACAGAGAGAUAACUGUUUCUAUUCAUAGUAUAAGCAUCUUAAUUUCAGGUGGUUUUUAGAUUUUUAUGUGAAAGUUAAAAAUAGUAAAUCCUAAGAGAGGAUAAUAUAGAGGACGUUUUCACCACAUGGGGUAUAUAAAGAUUAAUAAAACUGGACACAAAGUCUCUGAUUAUAAAAAAAAUUGACAAAUAUUUUGACUGUAAGAGAUUAUAUUAAUAAAUACACAAUACAAUUUUAAGAGAAAUGAAAUGAGAAAUGAAAAGAGCAGCAGUAGAGUGGGAUGUCAAAGUACAUAUGACUGACAAAAAAUUACAAAAUCAAGACUAAAAUGGCAUACCACUAGAGCAGCUAUAAAUACAAAGAGUAAAAAUGCUCUUCUGUUUGGAGGACGUGAAGCAUGUUCUUGGGCACUGAUUACGUGAGUAGGUAGCUUUUCCUGAUUAUAUCCUCUGCAGAGUUUUCAUAGUGUAUCAUGUCUAGAUCACAACUGGAAAGAUCUAUGGCAAAUUCAUCAUCUGUCAAUGAGCGCAACCAAUAUUUGUUACAAUUUUACCAUGUUUAAUUGUGAAAGAGUUCUUAGAGCAUCAAAACACAUAUCCAGAAAUACUAUCCUCAAGUACCAGGCAAUAUUUAUUUUUUUUCAGUUACUUUUCUGCCCUAUAUUUAUCACUAAGCUCAUAUGAACUUUUAAUUUUUUAAAAAAACCUUUAGGUGUCUGUUUUACUCAUUCCAGAGAGAAGGAACUUAUUGGCACAUGACUGAUUUAUUAAAUACACUCAAUAAAAGUUGGCAUUUUUACAGUCAGCAAGCUCAAUAAAGUUCACAAAUAAAUCUUCUAUAGUUCUCAUAUUUACAUAUUUCUCAUAUUACUCUUUACCUAGGUAUCUAUCAACUUUGAAAGAUCCAAAAAUAGAACAUGAGGGCCAUAAUUGUCUGGAAAUGAGGAGAGGGUAUAUUUCUUUGUGAGAAUUUUUUGUGUAAAUGAGUAAGUUAAGAUGAUAUUAUAAAACCAAUUAUUAUAAAAUUCCUGAGGAUAUCCUCUAUAGCAUGUACUUUGGCAUUGAUUAUCUAUAUGAGUAGGUAGCUUUUCCUGAUUACAUCCUUUAUAAAGUUUUCAUAGCAUAUCAUAGCUAUGAAAAUAUUUUUCAGAAAAAGAUAAACCACACAGGAAUAAAUGAUAAAGUGAAUGAUAACUUUUCAGUUAAAAAAAGAACUAAAUGUACAAUGAAAUUUGGGACUAAAUAAAUGGCACUUCUGCACAAUUCAGAUCUUUUUCCCCCUUAUGCUGAGCCUACUUUGUUGUUUUGCAUAACCUACAACAUGUAGACAUCUCAGUUAGAGACCUCUAUCCCAUACCCUUUUUCCCCAAAAGUUCUUUCCUUUCAUCAGUGAUGGCUGAGUCGAUUCUUAGACUAGUUCCAAUGUAUUCCCUUGAUGUAAUCAUCAGAUCUGUCUCCCCUCAGCACCUUGUUUGGGGAUGCUUCUCAUUCUCUAUGCCUAGGUACAAUUUCAAAUCCAGAGUUGGAGCUGUCAUCUUCAUAAAUUCUCCUUAGAUUAUAGGAGUUCACAAAAUCUUGUCAUUUCUGUGUACUCUUCUCGGUCUUAAGAAAUGUUUCUCCUGGAAUAACCUGUGGUCACCCUCUGAUAGGUAUGUUCUGUUAUUAUGUUUUUGUGUAAAUUUUGUCAAGCUAAUGUAACUGUGAUUUUAUUUCACAUGAUCUAUAGGGCCUUACACAAACCUGAACCUAAUAAAGACAUGUGGGACAUAAUCUCAAAAUGAUAUCACUGAAACUCAUUUCCAACCCAAUUAAACUGUUCUCCUAGGGUUGGUUGACAGUCCAGAAUUAUUAGGCUUCUCAGUGGAGCCAGAACAAUCUGUCCAGUGAUACUUGAUCCGAUCAAGUGUUUUCAUGGGUGGUUUGGAAACCAUGUCUUGCUUUGCAGAUGUUAUUUAUCACAAAGUUGCCCCUAGCCCUUUAAUGUUGAGGAUUUGAUAUUAGUGGAGUUGUGGAAGUGAAAUUAUUAGGGUGUCCUUAAAGUCCUUUUCCAUAAAUGAAUGAUUUAUUGGAGCAAUGAAAGAAAGGAAUAAGUUUGCCUGCUCAAUAUAGCCCGUCAUUUUUGAUGAAUGUGACUCACCUUUCUGUAAGAAGUUCAAUUUAGCACUGGUACCAAUUCUUGAAUUUUAUAGAGAAGGAAAUUGUAAAAUGUCUUAGAAAUGUGGCCACGGAGAGAACAAACUGAGGUUGAAUGAUGCAAAAUCAGAACUACACUGAAUGCAACGUAAUGCCAAUGCUGUUCAAUGCCAAGAGACUUACAGGAUAAAAUUUGGCUUUUUCCUUUUGAAAUAAUAUUAGCUUGCUAUUGAGUAAAAUCAGGUAGCAACACUUCAUAACUCCAUUACCUACCUGUUUUGUAUUCAUUAAAGUGUGGCUUUCUUGGCCUGACUGUCAGUGGUAUGCUGAGAUGGCUUGCCACAGCUCCAGAGUGCAUUGUAUAUAUUUCUUCUUGACUUCACGUUAAGUGACAUUAUGUUGGUAGCUUGGAAUUGGUCAUGAUGAAGCUAUAUAUACCAGGAAAACUGGCACAUGCUGCAAAUGAAGGCUCCUGCUCUUCCAGAGAUCUAACUGUUAAGUAUUUAUCAGCAUACUACUAACCUGUGUUCAAAGGUUGAACUGCAGAAGCCUCU
rnacentral:lncRNA from 10 species